UUUUCCAUUACUCUCAAGUCGCUACCGCAUCAAUAUUUUCCUUUCCCGUUUUAUUUCUCUUCCCUCCAUAAAGAAAAUAUCCUUUGGGGUUCCUCAGGUAUGAAUUCAUUCCACAACGCACUGCACCCCACAACUCAACUUCCUCUUCCAAUUUCACACCCUCUCACUUCAAUCCCACUCUCCCUUCGACAAACCCGAUUCCCACGCGCGACUCCAAAUGCUAGCAACCAUGUUCUUAUGCCAACCAUGUCGGACAUUCUAGAAGCAUCGCGAGCGCAGAAACUGGACCUCAACCUCAAAACUGUGGGACCCUUUUUCCGAAUCACGGCAAGGAGCUUGAUAACCGAGAAAGAGCUCGGAAGGGCCGAAGGGUUUAUAAGAUUGUGGGUGGGAGGAAGAAUCCUUCACUUGGACUCCAUCAAACUACGCAGAGAAACACUGGGCAUGGAGAAAUCAAUCUUUGGCCUUGGCUUGUUCAUCGGAGCCCUUGCAAUUCGACAUGGAUAUGAUUCUGGAUGCAAAACGGCUCAGCUAUUGGCCAUCAAUGAUUCCCAUCUUUACCAUUCUAAGUUGGUUCGGUUCUACACAAGACUUGGGUUUAAACCUGUGUACGAAGUUACUGGAUCAUCGGUUGGGGAUGUUCGCCACAUGCUUGUAUGGGGUGGUGUUGGUACUCGAAUGGAUGCCAGUGUUGAAGAACUGAUGAUAAAAUGGUGUACUAGAUUUAGAGCGACCCAUAAAUGAUUUCGUUCAGUCACACGAGUAAUUGAAUUAUAGCAAAGGCAACAACACAGGGCGAAAACAGGGAUGAAUGAAUAUAGAUAGGGGUACUAUUUGAUAAGUCCAACCCAUCCCUACUCAAUUUUACUUUAAAAAAAAUUUGUACAGAUUUUAAUUUUCUUAUAAGAAAAAAAUAUAAUUUUGUUAUUAAGUAUAAUUAUAUAUUUGUUUACUUUUAACUCCUUCUUUUGGUGCAAAAAAAGAACUCCUCCUUUAAAACAUUUUUUUGGCAUUUUCUGGUGAUUGAAUAUUCCUGUAAUGAUGCGUUUUGAUGUUGAGAUAUAUUAUUUUUCUUUGGCGCCUUUCAUUUCUAUUUCUAUGCGCAGCUUUCAUUUCUAUGAAUGGAAAUAUGAAACCACAAGCCUGAGUUUUCUUUUUAUCCAAUUUGAAUCUGUUGAAAAUUCAUAGUUUUCUGCUAUUUAGUCAUACAAUAGAUUUUCUUAAGGAUUUGCGCAUAUUGAGAAAUAGUCUGUUUGAUGGUUGGUUGUAUUACUUUCUACUAGUUAUUAGCUAAAUGUACAUUCAAAAUCCACAGUUUAUUGACAAGUUAAACGGAUA